UCAGCUAGAGCAGGAAGUUGAAGACCAGAAGAAGCUGAACGCUAAACUCAGCCAGCGAGUCAGGACGUUGGAAAAGUCUCAGAGGGAUCUGGAAGCCACUCUCCAUGAUAAGGAUGAUAGCAUUGGUGUAAGUUACCCCAGCCGGCCCAGCCUGAUCAUGAACACUUGGAAAACAAACCCACUGUGAGGAUGGAGAGGCUCUUAACUGCUGCUCGCUUCUCUGCUAGGCUCUGAACAACUGCAUCAUGCGGCUGAACCGGAUGGAGGAGAGGAGAUCGGAAUCUGAGGGUCCAGGUCCAGGCAGAUGUGAGCCAGGUGAAUUAGCCAAUGGAGAAGUGGGAGGUGGGGAGAGUAAGAUCAAGGCUCACAUGCACCGG
rnacentral:lncRNA from 1 species